CAGGGCACCGCCGCGGCUGGGGGUGGGGCCUCGGUGGGGCGGGGCGGGGCCGCGGCCGUGCUCACGUGACCGCGCCGCCCCCUGAGCGCCGCCAUGUUGUUUCUGCCUUCACGGCGGAGGAGGCGGGCGGCGGAGCUGGGGCUUGGAGAGGCGGCGGCCCCCAGCCGCGGGCAGGUGCUGAAUGAUGAUUUAAACUGAACAAUUAAGGUAAUAAACCCUCAGGAAUAUGAUAUCAGAUAAUGACAUUCUUCGCCAAAAAAGAUUGUCAAAAAUGUAUUACACAGAUAAGUUUAAAAUAUGUAAUAGGAGAAAUAGCAUCAAUUCUCCAAGCCUCUGAAAGAUUCUGUUGUAGUUUUUUGUUCUUGUUUUUUAGUGUUAAGACUUUGUUACUUGGAGGGGAACAAUUCCAAAAAUGAAGUUAUUUUAGAAAUCUUAAAUCCUUUUGGAAGAUGUUUAAGUGGAAAAAACGCAGCAGCCUGCUGUACUGGAAACUGCCAUCCAGGUUCUGCAGAUACUCUAAACCGCAUAUUUAAUCAGUUGGGCCACAGAUGAGUCCCUUACAGUAAACAAAACCUGUAAAUGUAUAAAGUUUCUGCUGCUUCCAAACAAAAAUGCUUCUUACUGCCUUUAAACAUAUUUCUUUGGAGCCUCAAACACAGCUUGUAAGCUCACACUGAAAUGACUGAAAAAAUAUCCGUUAAAUAUUACUUUUCAGACUAAAAUCUUGACAAAAAUGUUAACUGCUGGUAUGGUGGCUUUUCUUUUUGGACGCUGAAUGUUCUGAAAAGUGACAGCUUUUGAAGGCAGAAUCCCGUUGAGAUACUUGCUUAUCGGUCCUGGUUUCUGUAGCCUUGGUAUAGAAGUACCAGGGUUUUGCUGUAGCUGAAGAGACGCUUUUAUGGAUUGUGGCUGAUGUCGAAUUGAGUGCCCAGCUGAGGUAUCUUUAUGGUCAUCAGUCUCCUAGGCCUCACUGCAGUAGUUCAGGUAGUUCAAGUUGUGCAAAUUAACUUAUCAGGUUAUGGUUGCACAAAAGCAUCAGAAUACUGAUAAACAAAAAGAAAGGAAACUGUUAAAACUAAAUAACUUCAUGAUACUAACUGCAGUCUAACCACAGUUCUUUAAACUAUAGAGGUAAAGAAACAAGUGCUUAAUACCAGUCAGAACUAUGUAGUUGGUUGGUUGUUCAUGUUUUGUCUUUUACGAUAUGUUUGAUUUUAUAGGACAAAAAAAAAUUGUAAGGUGUUCCCUUCAGUGAAGUGGAAAAACAGGGAAACAUUCAGUACCCUUUGUUCUCAUGAAUGCAUUAUUUAUUAAGAAAUUGUUACUAAAUAAUAGAGUAGUUCAAAUAACUUGUUAACUAAUAGUAGGAAUUAGGGAGACUAAUGAAGACCUGGACCAUUUUAAAGAUUUCACCAUGAACCUGGAAAUCACAUGCUAGUAGUCCAGUGACUCCAAGAAGGCUGUUCACGUGUAUUAAAUGGGAUGUGGUCGUAUCCUGAGCCAUAGCAAUUACCUGUGAAAGGCCUAGGAAGAUCUCUUCCUGUAACAAUGGCAGCAAAAUCAUCACUCCUUAAAGUAAUACUGCUAGGAGAUGGCGGAGUUGGGAAGAGUUCCCUUAUGAACAGAUAUGUCACCAACAAGUUUGAUGCACAGCUGUUUCAUACAAUAGGCGUGGAGUUCUUAAAUAAGGAUUUGGAAGUGGAUGGACACUUUGUUACAAUGCAGAUAUGGGACACGGCAGGUCAGGAACGUUUUAGGAGCUUGCGGACUCCUUUCUAUAGAGGUUCUGACUGUUGCCUGCUUACCUUCAGCGUGGAUGACUCUCAAAGCUUCCAAAACCUAAGCAACUGGAAGAAAGAAUUCAUUUAUUAUGCAGAUGUCAAGGAGCCUGAAAGUUUUCCAUUUGUGAUACUGGGUAACAAAGUUGAUAUCAAUGAAAGGCAAGUGUCUACCGAAGAAGCCCAAGACUGGUGCCGGAAUAAUGGUAAUCAUCCCUAUUUUGAAACCAGUGCAAAAGAUGCCACUAAUGUUGCAGCAGCCUUUGAAGAAGCUGUUAGAAGAGUUCUAGCCUCUGAAGACAGAUCAGAUCAAUUUAUUCAAACAGAUACCGUAAACCUUCAUCGGAAACCAAAACCCAGUUCAUCUUGUUGUUGACUUUUUUUUUUGCCAAGUUACUUUUGACUAGCUGGCUCUGUAAGAGGGUGGGAAAGGUGUAGUAGAUAAAGUAGCACGUGGGUUCCACUCUAAUACUGAAGUUGUAAUAUUCUGCUGCUUUCUUGAGGGAGCAAAGGGGAGCAAAAGAAAUCCCCAGUCAUGAGUGACCCAUUAUUGAGAUAGUGAUACUUCCUAUUUAGGAAGGUGUCAAGUACAAAUGUUAAUAUAAGAAUGUAAUUUGCCAACUUUAAUCAAAUGAUAAAUACUCUGAUUAUAAUUAAAACUUGAAGUUCUAGAAGCACUACUUUAGAGAAACUGUUCUGGAAUUGACACAAACUUUUAUAUGUAUAUAUAUUUUUAUGAAAUCGGCAUUCCAUUUUUGUUUCACUAGAAGUCAGUUUCUUAACAAUGCUAGAUAUUAAACAUUAGUCUCACUACAUUCCUUUUGAUGUCAGUGGUACUUCAUCUCUAAUGUGUUUACUGUAAGUUAACGUAAAUUACCUUCAGGUCUUCUGUAAUUGCCUAAUGUGUCACUAUAGGUCCGUAAGUAGAAGAUAAUUUUCUUACUUAUUUCAUGUCCGUUUUCCUUUCACUUACAAUUCUAAAGCCAUACUAAUUUUUCCAGCUGUUUAAUGCAAAAUACUGAUUUUUUUUUUGAAGUUAAUAUAUGUCUUUGCCUUAAGUCCCAUUCUGGCAUGUUUCUGAUCAGUCAGGUGGAAAAAAAAUCUGGAUAACUGAAGUAUAACCAUUUUUAGUUAUGGAAAAAAAAAUGUUAUUCGGUCAGCUUUAAUAGCACUUGAAGGGAUCCAUGUUAAGGCAGAUUUCCAACAAGACUUUUAGUAUGCAGCCUUAAAGUUCUGAACUCCUUGUUCUGUUGACCUGAGCUAUGAAUGUGUUUAUUUGUGAUCUCUGUACUGUGAAACUAUGGAUUGGCAAUACAUAGAGAACUCAGGAAGCUCGUAACUUACAGCAGCAGAUAGUGACAGCUUUCAGCUCUAGUACAAGUAGAUACCUGUAGCUAAUACUUGAGCUCAAUUCGAUCUGUAUUUAAUUUGCCAUUGUAGGGUAUAGAUUUAAACAUUUAACGGUCUUUAAUGUUACUGUACUCAUUAAUUGACAAUGAAUAGAAGCCAGUUUCAUAUUUAAUGGUUAGUCUUUCUGCAGUAAUGCAGGUGAAACCACGUGUUUGAGGCUCUCCAUUGCUGUUAAAUGGUACAAUACUUGUAUGAGAAGUUGUUGAAAGCUGGCUCUCAGAAUACUCAAUAUCCUUAUAACAGCAAACUCGAUAGUGCACUGUUGCUUCAAUGUGUAGUCUGACUGCUAACAGGCAUGCUUGUAUACACAUUGUAGAGCUCAAAAGGAAUUCAAAUGCCUAGAGAACAGGCCAUGUUAUUCAUUAAAAUACGCAGACUCUGCUUUCUGUACUGCAACUCUUUUGUUGUAAUAGAAAAGCUUUUCUGGAUAGUACAGUAAUGGCAGGAAUCUUCUCUCAACCUAUCUGUUCACUCUGUACCAGAUGUUAUUUGGAAGUAAAGCUUGCAGAAUUAACUUCAUCUUGCUCUUACACACUUAGAAUUUGGACUAUUUUGUAUACUUGCUUGAACCUGUUCAGGACCGUUUUGCUCCAUGAAUCUGCUGCUCCUGCUUAAAAGUGACAUCUUUUUAUACUAAUUGUACGUUUAACAUCUACUUCAUUCUGACAGUCCUGUAUAUACAGCAACAGAAUUUUGUUAAGCUUCAGUCACUGAACUGCUAAAUAUAGGCUGGGCUGCUACUUCUGUAGUGUUUAGAUUUCUGGUCAGCGAAUGAAAGAUCGGUGAAGAAAGAAAGAAUCUUAGCUAGAUUCUUCCUAACCUUAAGCGGAGAGAGCAAAAAGCUUUAAAAACUAAGACUGCAUGCAUUAGGGGCCACUAAACUGGUAACAUGAAAUUUGUUGUGAAGUACUUAAAGCUUCCUUGAACCUUCCUUUUAGUGGAGGUGAGGUUGAAACAAAAUAGUAGAUUGUUACCAUUGGAGUACUACAGAUAUUUACAUAAGAUCCCUAAAAGUAAACAAAGGAUGAGAACUGUUGUAGUAGUUUUUCUGGUGCCUCAUAGCCCACCCGUGUUUUCUCCUCUGUACUCUUUCCAUGUGACAUCAUGGUUACCCAGCCUCUGUCCGAGAAGCAGGUUUAAUAAAGCUAAAUGUAACUUAAUUCAAAAAA